rfam:Pteropus alecto contig39596, whole genome shotgun sequence.
GAGGGGGAGGGCGGGAGGGCAGGAGGGCGUGGUUUGUGCAGGUCCUCACUCCUCCCCUCCCGUCUUCUUCUUCC